GAAAGAGAAAGAGAAAGAGAAAGAUAGAUAGAAGAGAAAGGGGAAUCAGAAUUCAAAGAAGAGGAUGGACCCUGAACAGCAUCAUAAUGGCUGUUCUUCAUCCUCUUCCUCUUCUUCUUCCUCCU
rnacentral:ribozyme from 13 species